rnacentral:rRNA from 1 species
AGCGUAGGCGGGAGCCUAAGUUGGGUGUUUAAUUCCGGGCCCAACCCCGGGCAUGCACUCAAAACUGGGUUUCUUGAAUAGGGGAGAGGUCGGUGGAAUUGGAGGUGUAGCGGUGGAAUGCGUAGAGAUCUCCAAGAACACCCGUUGCGAAGGCGGCCGACUGGACCCAUAUUGACGCUGAGGCUCGAAAGCAUGGGGAGCAAACA